AGAGGAGACUCAGAGGGGAUCUGUUGGCAACAUGCAGAUACCAGAACUCAGAGAGAUCAUCUCGUGAAACCGACUGAGUGUGGGAGAAAGAUUUACGACAGGUGAAAUGGAACACUUCUUCACCCAGUGCAGGGUUAAAUGACAGAAUUCACUUCUUUAAGUUGCAGAAAAUUUUAUUAGGUUACCAAAAACAGUAAAAAAGAGAUUAAACGAAGAAAACCAAGGGAUGGAACAGGCCCUGCCCAAGUCUAAGCACCACCAGCAGGAACUGUCCCUACGCGCUCUUCGAGAUGCGAAAUCAGAAUCAUGAUUCCACGUGAUCUACGCCGGCAGGAAAGAAGUGCUUUUUCGGGCCGGUAAAUUUCCGUGAUGGGGUCACGCGUGUGACUCCCGGGCAUCCCAUUUUACAGGGGUGUGUGUCAGCCGUUGUCUGUGCAAUACAGGUGUUGUUGUGGCA